rnacentral:rRNA from 1 species
AUUGAACGCUGGCGGCAGGCCUAACACAUGCAAGUCGAACGAGUGGCGGACGGGUGAGUAAUGUCUGGGAAACUGCCCGAUGGAGGGGGAUAACUACUGGAAACGGUAGCUAAUACCGCAUACCAUCGGAUGUGCCCAAAUGGGAUUAGCUAGUAGGUGGGGUAACGGCUCACCUAGGCGACGAUCCAUAGCUGGUCUGAGAGGAUGACCAGCCAAACUGGAACGGAUACCCGGUCCAGACUCCUACGGGAGGCAGCAGUGGGAAUUAUUGCACAAUGGGCGCAAGCCUGAUGCAGCCAGGCCGCGUGUAUGAAGAAGGCCUUCGGGUUGUAAAGUACUUUCAGCGAGGAGGCGUUACUCGCAGAAGCAGCACCGGCUAACUCCGUGCCAGCAGCCGCGGUAAUUC